CAACAUUAAUUAAAAUAUCAUCACAAUCUUCUUCCAUCUUCCAAAAUAUCUUAGCCAUUAUGUGUUAUUAUAGAUCCAUCACCUCCUUCUGGCCUCUACAUCCAAACCGACUGUUUAUACAAAAGUAACACUUAAAUCAGAAAAUGAAAAACCUCAAAAUACAACAAUAUCGUGAAAAAAUGUUUCUUUUUUAUGUUAAAACAAAUAUUUAAUAUUAAUUUUUUAAUUUCAACCUUUUGAUUUAUUUGUAAUACCUGUCGUGCAUCCAUUCAUUCUCCACACGAGAGCGGAGGACACCACGGUCAUUUAACAAGCUUCCCGAAUCUACACAACAGUUCGUUACUUAACAUUACCGAAUACUGAUAACAAAUACUGAUAACAGAUACAAUAACAACAGUUAACAAGAACGCACCCACUCACACACGCUAUAUAGAAAUCACGCUUUCGGUAUUGAUGGUAUCUGUAAACCCUAAUCAAACCCAAGCUUUUUACUUCUUCGAUCCUUCAAAUAUGGGUCUUCC
rnacentral:lncRNA from 1 species